rnacentral:rRNA from 1 species
UACGGGGGGGGCAAGCGUUGUUCGGAAUUACUGGGCGUAAAGGGCUCGUAGGCGGCCAACUAAGUCAGACGUGAAAUCCCCAGGCUCAACCUGGGAACUGCGUCUGAUACUGGAUGGCUUGAAUCCGGGAGAGGAAUGCAGAAUUCCAGGUGUAGCGGUGAAAUGCGUAGAUAUCUGGAGGAAUACCGGUGGCGAAGGCGGCAUCCUGGACCGGCAUUGACGCUGAGGAGCGAAAGCUAGGGGAGCAAACGGG